UUUUUUUUUAAUAACUUUCCAAAAAGUUUGUAGUGAUUUUCGCUCCCGCUAGCUAUGCUUGAGUGUGUGGUCUACACCAGCCUCACCAGCACUGGAUAUUCUGAGAAUCCUUGUCAGAUACUGAGGCUAAGACCAUAGGAGAGGAGAGUUAGGAGGUGCUGACUUGAGAGUCUGCAUUCUGUAACCGUCUUAUUUCCAAUGCCCUGCAUGUUGAGGAUGUUGGCCUCUAUGGAACCUGGAGGAAUGAGGUUUAGUUGUGUUUCAGGGGUCGAGGUGGUUCUGGAGGUUGUCUUGGAUCAGUGCGAUUAAAGUAGAGUGCCGUUGUCAUGGCUUGCUAACCCACGGGCUCGAGUCACAUAUAAAGGAAAUACCAUUUUCUGCCUGUGACACACCUUUGUGGGUUUGGCUUCCAUUUUAAGCAGCAUGGUUCACAAGGGAGAGGCUUUCCCUUGCCAGUUUGAGGACCCAUCUUCCUGGGGCAGAGACCAGACCUGAGAUCAUUUUGAGCAACCCUGCCCUCAUAUUGCAAUUGCUUGUCAAGGUUGUUCCCUGGGGGGGGUCUCUCUCCAAGGGUGCACUUCAGUCCCUUUGUGUGUCAGGUGGAUGGGAAGAACUGAGGAAGCCACUUACAGCCAUUAGUCUGCAAAUGUGUUGGAAGGGCUGCGUUUUAGUAACAAGUGAACUGUGUAGGAUGGUUUGAGUUGUUCAUGGUCAGUUCUUAGGUUCUGUAAAAUCCAUUAGAAAACCUGUGACCGUAUCAUCAGUUCAUGCAUUCUGUGCCUGGCUGUCAUGUUCGUGAAGCUUUGCUUACAAUCGCGAGCUCUUAAAUCCAGAGCUGCUGUAUAUGCCCUACUACUUUAGUGUUAGAGCAGGAGUCCAGUGUUCUGCAGUUUAAACAAGUUCUGAGUAUCUCCUUAGAAUUACUCCCAGUUCCCAGCCCGUUCCAGAUGCUGGGCACACUUGAAUUAUAGAACCUGUAGCUGCACAUUUGUGUCAUGACUACCCAAGCUCAAUAAUGCCCCCCAAGUCUUUGUGGAUCACUUAGGAGCUCACUGGAUUAAUAGGGUUGAAGCCUUUUAAUCCAAAUAAUUUUAAUUGCAUUAGGAAACCUGCAUAUUAACAAGCGGGUAGUAAGUGCAGGCAUUAAGACUGAUACUGCUUAAGUCUUUGAGAUCAAAUUUAGAGUCUGGCAUCGUUGAGGCUGUGGAUGAACUGUAUUCUUUAGACUCAAGUUUCUUAAGUCCACUCUCUACUCUUGGAGAUAAUUCUCACAUACCGUCCUCAAGGAGCUUGCAACCAAGUCGUGGGGAUAAGGCAAAGAAAGGUGAAGUAUUUAACAAAUGUUUCAGGACAGGACGUAAUCCUGUGUUCACGGUGUGUGCCUGAUUGAGGACGGUGUUCUAAGUGCCAACGUUGUGGGGUGCAAAUGGUCUGGAAGGAGAAGACCAGUGGGCCCUCAGCGUUUGGGGAAGACACAGAGUGGGUAGAAUUUGGAGAGGCCUUGAAGGAAUGAGCAGGUUUUGGGUAGGUGGAAGGGAAGUUAUCGAAGUUAUACCCCGAGGGGACUCUGGUGAAAUAAGGGAGGAGAGCCUGGUUAGAAUAAGAUUUUUGUUGAAUUGUGAUGGGUGAAAGGUUGCAUAGAGUGAUGGGUCUGGGUCUAGGGGGAGCCCAAAGUCAAGCAGGGAGGCUGAUCCUUGAAACCAUGACCGCCAUCGCCAUCCUCGUCAACAGCAUGUUCCUAGCAGCUACCCUUUAUUGUGUGCAUACAGCCUGGUUCUCAGCGCUUUACAUAUGUUAUCUUAUUUAAUCCUCAAACAACCUUAUGAAGCAGAUUACAAUUAUUGUGUGCACUUUCCAGCAGAGGAACUGAGACAUAAAGAAGUUAAGUAACUUCCAGCUGGUAUGUGGCAGAGUUGGGGUUCAGAUGGACUGAAUCAGGCAGCCUGUUCGCGGAGUCUGUGUUCUUCACCACAGUGUACUACUACCUCUGAGUAACAGCUGAGACCUCCUGAUGCCAUUAGCAUGGUCCCCUUUGGGUUCUGGAGGAGCCUAGCCUUUCAAAUCAGACCUGGGCUUACAUUCUGGCUCUACCACUUUUUAGCUAUGACCUUGGAAGUUAUUUCUCUGAACCUCAAUUUUGUCAUUUAUGAAAGAGGGGUAAUAAUAAUAAUGCUAACUUCAGGGUUGUUGGGAGGGUUAAAUGAGAUAGUUUACACAAACCACCUAGCAGAAUGCCCACCAGGGAGUAAGCAGGCAGGCAAUGAUAGCUGCUAUGGGCUUACAUUUUUCAAAUAUCCCUAGGGCUAUAAAGAGAUCUCUGAGAAGAAGAAAGAAUGAGAAUAAGACAUGACUCAGGUAAAAUUUUUUUGGUGUCACUUGUAAUAAUAAUUAGCCAACACAGAUACCAGAUGUUGUAUUCCUUCUUCUGGAGCAUUCCAGGAAUGGACUAUAAAUUCCAAAUGUGGCUCUUCAUUGCUCCAAGAACUGACUGCAUUUCUCCUUGUCCUCCAAAACUUGGAGGGUAAAACCAGGACAUUGCACUGAAAUUCGGCACAGGAUCUGGUGCCAACUGUGCAUUCCAAGGGCUGAAAUCAGGAUCUGCUGAAAUUAUCAGUGUCCUAGUUCUGCUGCUUCCCACUUCCUGAUGGUACCCACCCCAGAUAAUUGCUCUGCAUCUCAGAGAGAAAAAUAGAUAUUUGAAAGUAGCAUAUUUAAUUGUCUAUAAAGUUAAACAAUGCACGGAAUAUUUAUAACCAAGACAGAAAUGUUUAAACAAAACAAUUUAAAAGAAAAAAAACCAGUGCAAGAAAAACUGUGCUCUAAGGCGAAGUGCUAAAUAAAAAAAUCACUUCCAGGGGGGCAGGCCCCAUGGCCUAGUGGUUAAGUUCGAUGUGCUCCACUUCAGCAGCCUAGGUUCAGUUCCCAGGCACGGACAUACACCACUCAUCAGGGGCCAUGCUGUGGUGGCAACCCACAUACUAAAAGAGGAAGAUUGGCACAAAUGUUAGCUCAAGGUGAAUCUUCCUCAAGUGAAAAGAGGAAGAUUGGCAGUAGAUGUUAGUUCAAGGCAAAUCUUCCUGAACAACAACAACAAAAAAAAUCACUCUCAGACUUUAUGGAGAAAUAGCACUUGGUGAUUCUCACACUCAAGUCUUGCACAUUUUCAACAGUUCACAUAGUAGUUUUUCUCUGUGUAACAUCCUGUGGUUGUAGAGUUUUUCUUAACAUUACUUCCUCCAAGAAUUUUGAAAGCCACAGUGCAUGUGUCCACCAGGAAGAACAAUUUCUAAUCCUCUUCUGAUUUUCAGUCUCCUUGGUGGUGACAAACCUAUUUGUUCUGUCUCUGCUUCCUUGGUAUGAUCUGACUUGGUUUCCUUGGAACCACUAAAUGUUCCUUGUUGCUCCUAAUCCAAUAUUGGUUUUGAAAUUUGGGGAUGUAAGAAGCUAUAAGGAAAAAUAAAAGUUAAAAAAUAUGUAAUGUGUCUGAAAAUGUGAAAAUUUUAUUAAAAUUCCAGAGUCACUGUAGAAUUUUUAAGUUUCCAAAUAAGGCUAGAAUCAGAUGGCUACUUGCAGACCUAUUUGGGGCUAAGUGGUAUUUUGGAAAAACUGGAGUGUUGCCCAUGGUUUAAUUUUCCUAAUUUUCUAAUAGGUGAAUUUUAAAAUAGGGCAUCUUAGAUAGUUUUUGGUUUUGAUGGGCCUAUGGUGCUCAUCUUCCUGUAAUGACUUUCUGUAUAAAAGUAAUGGUGUCAACCUGGCUGGUAAAAUAAUGGCUUUCUGAAUUGUUUUGCUUGAAGUAAAGGGGGUUUGCAUCCUCCAGAGCUUACUGCUUCCCUAUCUAACCCAUAGGACACUUCAUUCAUUCCUAUUUCAUUCAACUAAGAGAAGUAUUUAUUGAACUCCUACUACGUGCUAGGUGCUGUCAUAGGGGCUCACUGACGAACAGAACAGGUGUGGUCCUCGUGGGUGGAGCCCACGGUCUAGUGCAGAAAACAAACAUAAACCGAAAACAUGCAGAUAAUUAUGAGAGAGUAAAUUGAGGUAAAUAAUAUGAUGGAAAAGAAAGGAUUUCUUUCAACCUAAGGCGGGGAAAUGGAGUAUGGGAAUACUGAAAAGUUUAUUCAUUCAAAACAGAUUCCUACAAAAACCUAAACAAAGAAAAAAGAUUAAAAAUGAUUAUGCAAAAUAUAUGUAGGUGUCAAGGCAUUUAAAUACAUUGUUUCCAUUAAUUGGCCAUGAAAGUAUCACUAAAUGGAAUUCUGUUGCAAGACACAUUUGAGCCCGCGGCCAUGCUGAGACCAUGAAAGAGUCUUCUCGUAAUUUGGUUCACUUUACUGAAGCAGCUUCAUACUCACUGCGAUGUCACUGGAGGUGGACGUCCUGAGUCAGUCACCUAGGAAAAGCUCUGGUUGGGUGACUUCUCCCUCGUCGUUUGUUUCUGGUAAGAUGCACUUUGGUUGUGGAAAGCAUCUUGAGUGUGCAAGGCCAGAGGGCUCUGGGUCCUACUCUCCAUUCUGCUGCCAGCUCCUCUGGUCAGAGCUCGGCUUCUCUGAGACUUGGAGACUUGGAGUAUGAAGGGGUUGUGCUUGAAGACGUUAAAGAGUUUUCCAGGUCAAAUUUUAUUUUAGAAGCAGUGGGUAGCAGGAGAAUGUCUGGGGCAGCAUCACUUCGUACUUAAUCAAGAUGUGACAUUUCCGUGGUGUGAUGCAGUUUUGGAGCACUGGACCAGGAGUCGGAAAGUUCCAGGCGCUGCAGUACCUCUGACUGAUGGAAUGACUUGGUUUAUGCUCCUCCGGUCCCAAGCGCAGAUGAGUUUGUGCUCAGCUGCAACCACAUUCAGAGACAGGGCGGCUCCAUCGGGGGUAAGCCUGCAGGUUCUGGGUUCAAAUCCGGAACAGUCCACCAAGUGGCCAUGUGGACUUGGGCAGGAAACUUGGCCUUCUUGAGCCUCAGUUUUCACAUCUGUGAAAUAGAUCCUCGGUUUCUCAUUUAUAAAUACUCUUCUCUGCCUCCCAAGGUUGGGACAAGGAUGAAGGCCAUGUAAGGUGGUUAGUACAGUACCUGGUGCAUAGUAAGUGCCCAAUAAAUGUUCACUGUUACUGUCAUUUUUGUGCUAUUAGUAAUUAUCGUGGCUUCUGUUAUUGUGGGUCUUCAGGUGGCCACAUCAUGUCGCCUCCUAAGGCUGGGUGUCUUGCCUGUGGUGCCUGCCUCACAGGGUUGUUCAGAAAGUCAGGUGUCAUUAUGUGAAAGUGCUUUAUGAACCCUCAGAUCCUCUCCAGAGCCAAGGGGGCAGGGCUGGGCAGGUGAAAGCAGAAGCCUGGAGGUCUGUCUGUCUGCCGCUCGGCUGUUUUCGAGGGAGGGUUUGGCUGGGGCAGGAAGGCAGGUCUGUCCUCCUGCAGCCCUGACAGACUGAGGCACAUGCAGACACACUUCCCAUCCAGGCAGACAGGCCCAGCCCGCAGAUGGCCACAGACUUGUUCACUUGGUGAUUGUCAUUCACAGCUCCUGCCAUCUCAUGCCAGAGGCAGUCAGAGGGCAUCUCGAUCUCAAUUUCAUCUCUAGACUGACCCUGCCCGCUUUCAACCUCCUCGUCUGAAAUUUCUAGAGAACGGCAUAGUAGGACAGCACUGUUUUUAAACGACUUUAAAAACAGUGAUAUGGGGUAGUGAAAAACAGUAAAAUCCAGAAACUGUGAGUGAGAGGUGGCGUUGGUGCCGGGCACCUGUUGUCACGCAGGCUGCUCUGGGCGAGAGCAAUUUGUUUGUUUGGCAAAACCACUGGAAUGUUCUUGGUGGGGCGGAAGCCCGGGAGUGGGUGGUGGGUUUGCUCCUUGGGUGUGUUGCCUCCUUCCGAGCAGAUGGGGCUGAAAGAAUUUCCAGAGAGAGGAGGGACGGCCACAGCUGGGGAAGGCCCAAAGAGCUGUUUCCUGUCCAAAGGCCCAUUCAUAAAACGCCUCCUCUUCCUUCUCCAGGUGGCACCAGCCACUGCGUGGCUUUUCCCCACCUCAGGGGUUCCUUUCUCUCAAAGGAGGGAGGAGGCGUGCUAUCAGCUAAAAAGGUGGAAGAUGCCUCGGUUCUCCGAGCUCCCUCAGUUUCCCUGCUCCCCGGGCUAAGGAUGAUGGAUGGCCUCGCAUGGGCAGCCGUGAGCCAGGAUCUGCCAAGGGUGUUUGGCCAGCUCCGGGACUGACACACACGGUUAACCAGCCUAGGCUCCAGUACUCUGUCACACGGUCCCUGUCACAGCGACAGCUCACCUGGAGGGAGGCUGACUCACCUUCCACGGCUCUGCUCGGUCGGACCUUCCCCUCUGCCCCUGCUUAGUCUAUUUAGACUGAGGCCGAUCAGCAAGGCUGGGGGAGGCAGGUGGUUCCUGAGGGUCAGUUUGCCCAGCUGCCCCUUGCAGGGGAGAGCUGCACCCGCUUUUCCUUCCUGCUCCCCUUGCAUGCUCCCCUACCACCACCUCCCCUCCCCAGCUCACCCUCAUUCCUCUCUUCCCCUUUGCUUCCUUCUUCUUUCCACUUCUUUCUUGUAAUCUCUCUUUCUCUGACUCUCUCUCUUUUCUAGCAUAAUUAUAGAUGUGAUCUGUUAAAACUUAUGACAAAUCUCGGCUCUGUGUGGCAUGUUUCCCUGGUAGUUGUUUGGUGGGAGAGAAGCAGGGGUGUCUUGUGUCCCGUUCCUCACUGGCUAUGCGGGGAUAGCCCUUGAGUAGUAAAUGAAGAAGGGACACCUCUGUGGAAGGCAUUUCAUUCCCUUGUCAAGGCUUGCGAGGAGCUGGUGACAGAACUGGCCCUGCGUCCGGGGAACACACUAUCUCCCUCUGCUGUCAGAUGGGUCUCUUCUGCCUGGGGUCUACGAACCACCCCUGGCCGGCUCUUCCAGGACCAUCUCCCCAUGCCCCUCCCUCUUUGGGUUCAUUUAGACUUAGAGACAGCAUGGGGGAGAUUUAGAUGUCUAAGUUCAUCCAUUCAUUUAGUACUUUACAUUUAAGUACAGGGAUACCCAAGCUAUAUUAUAUUUUUAAAGGCAGUGUUGGUUGAAGCAAGGAAUACUCUCUGCUAAUCCCGUCUGCCUUCAGGUCACUGGCACGAAGUGUCGGUGACAUUGGAAUUAUUUUCACAGUUGCCUUUAAGCUCUAUAAAGACAAACUUUGAAAGGUGAUGCUGGCCUAGAAAUGGCUGCUGCUGCUCCCUCAGCCUCAGACCAGGCAGAGGAGCUCAUUUCAAUUGUUUAACUUUUUAUUUUGAAAUAGUUUUAGACUUACAAAAACUUUGCAUAUAUAACACACAGAGUUCCUGUGUACUUUUCACCCAGCCUCCUUUGGUGUUAGCGUCUUACGUAACCACGAUAUACUAAUCAAAACCCAGAAGGGAAUGUUGAUGCAACGUAUAUAAUCAAAUGACAGAUUUUUUUUUGUUUUUAGCAGUUUUCCACUAAUGUCUUUUUCUCUUCCAAGAUGCAGUCCAGGAUCCCACACGGCAAUUAGUCGUCACGUCUCCAUAGUCCCCUCCAGUCUGUUUCAGUUCCUCAGUCUUUCCUUGUCCUUGGUGACCUCGACACUUUUGAGGAGUACUGGCCAGUUAUUUUUUAUUUUUUUAAAGAUUUAAAAGAAUUUUUUUUUUCCUUUUUCUCCCUGAAGUCCCCUGGUACAUAGUUGUAUAUUUUAGUUGUGGGUCCUUCUAGCUGUGGCAGGUGGGACGCUGCCUCAGCGUGGUUUGAUGAGCAGUACCAUGUCCGCGCCCAGGAUUCGAACUGACGAAACACUGGGCCACCUGCAGCGGAGCGCGUGAACUUAACCACUCAGGCAUGGGGCCUGCCCCUGGCCAGUUAUUUUUUAAAACAAGGAUCAGCCAACUUUUUCAGUUUCAGACCAGAUGGUAAAUAUUUUCAGCUUUGCAGCCAUGCAGUCUCUGUUGCAACUCUUCACCUUUACUGUUGCAACACAAAAGCAGCCUCAGACAGUAUGUAAAUGAAUGAACACGGCUGUGCUCCCAUAUAACUUCGUUUAUGAAAACAGGCAGAGGGCCAGAUUUGGCCCCCGCCUGUAGUUUGCCAACCCGUGUUGUAAAAGGACCCUAGAUUUGGUUUGUCUGAUAUGUUCUCAUGAUCAGAUUGAGGUUAUGCAUUUUUAAAUAAGAGUCCUACAGAAGGGAUGUGCCUGUCUCGGUGCAUCAGUUAGGUUACUUCACUUACAGUGCGUCACUUGGUUAAGGUGGGGUGAAAUGUAGAGUUAACAGCUGCUUCCCCCCUCCCCGCCCCGUGUAAUUAAGAAUAUCUCAAGGAAAACACUGUAAGAUUAUGCAAAUAUCCUGUUUCACCUCAAACUUUCAGCUGCUAAUUUUAGCAUCCGUAAAUGGAGCUUGUCUCCAACACUUUCUCCUGUGGUGUUUCAACGUGAAUUUCUAUUUCACGCAUUUCUUCUGUAUUUGUUAAUUGGAAUUCUUCUGUAAGAAAGAGCUGUUCCUUCGCCUCCGUUAAUUUAUUCAUCAAUUAUUUAUAUCAGUACAGACUCAUAGACGCUCCUUUUAUUUUUUGGAUUACGACGAUUACAGUUUUUGAAGUUGCUGCCAAAUGUCACCUUUCUUGGACUUCGUUGGUCUCAUUGAAUUCUUGACUACCCUCUUGAUUUCAUAGUUGGCUUUAUUCCAAUGACAACUUUGUGGGCAUCCGGUGGCCUCAGACCUAAUAGGUCUGUAUUUCAUUAACUUGUUAAUGGCAGAGGGCAGUUUUAUUUUUCAGCCCAAAGCACUAGCCAACUUUAUGUGCUCAGUCUACCACACAGCCGGUUGGGUUGCAGUGGGAGUGGCAGCCUUAGAGUGACUAGAGCCGGUCAGGAGCUGGUAAUUGGUUUUCAUUAAUCUUCUCGGAUGGAGGAGGAGUCGGUAGUAUUUUCUGGUACAUGCUAGGUCCAGUUUGAAUUGAGUAUGGUCCAAGUUACUACUUCUUCCUCUUCUCUUGCUCUUUAGGAGCUUUCUUUUUAUUCUAUUUGUUGGGAAACUUGAAGGGUGAAAAGCCUGGCUUAGGAGCAGAGUUUAAAGGAAAUUGAGUUGCGUUGCUUUUGUAGGCACAUUUCUAGGUAGAGUAAAAUGUCAGUUUAAAUGAUUUUGCCUCAAUUAGAAAGCCAAACAGUCUUCCAAAAUGUAAGCCUCUGAUCUGCUUUUAUUUAUUUAUAUCAUUUUUGUUCUGUUUUGUUUUUUCAAAGAUUGGCACCUGAGCUAACAACUGUUGCCAAUCUUUCUUCUUUUUUUUUUCCUGCUUUUUCUCCCCAAAUUCCCCCAGUACAUAGUUGCAUAUUUUAGUUGCGGGUCCUUCUAGUUGUGUGAUCUGUUUUUAAACACAAAAUGAAUAUUUUGUCAGCUUUCUAAAAAAGGAGAAGCUUCUAUUUCUGACUGUAAUUAAAAUUAUUCCUUUAGUAACCACAUGGGAGAUCGGUGAAGAGCCAGUGCGUGUGGCUCUUAUGUUUCUGUUAGCCCUUUAGAUGAUUUCAGAAAAUGUUUUUCACUUCUGGCUCUGUGGUCAUGAUGAUAGAAAAGGAAGAGAGACCAAUCCCAGUGCAUCCUGUGACAAGGAGCGGGGUUGUAUUCCUCACUUUGAAAGAUUUUUUUUAACUAAUUAAUUUUUGGGGAAGGGAUGAGCAAAUUCACUCAGCUUUUAAAGAAAUUCAUAGAAAAUUUUCCCACAGUAUUAGUUAAGGAAAAAAAAGAAAGCAAAGAAUUGUCAUUUUCCCUAGGCAUUGCUAUAGUCAAAAAAGGAAAAAUCUGGGAGCUUCUGAUCUUGUCCUGGACAGAAUUCACUAAAAGCCAGAACCUCAUUAACUGCAGCUUCAUUUCCACCUUCUUUAGGGUAGGAAUGUUUGUGCUACAGAGUUCUGUGGAAGUUCAGGCUGGUUCCCACUGGUAACUGAGAAAUUGCAUCCAAAACUCUAGCAUGCUAUUAUUUCUGUAUAAUCUGUUCAUCUUGUCUGGUUGAGGAAUUGGAUGAAAAGUCGAGAUAGUAAUACUAUUUUAAAGUUUACAAAAGUGAAUCAUGGACUGUGUUAUCAUGUAUUUAUUUCACUGUGUGUGAGACAACCUAUUAAAGUCACAUAUUUGAGUCAGAUGUUGAUCUCCUGACACUUAGGGCCACCAAAACCAUCACUGCCAAAAAAUAAUGUGAAGGAGACAGGUCAAGAGGACCGUGGUGACAUAUCUGGAUGAUUAUGAUAGAUCCUAACAUCUUGAGAAGUAAAUUUAUUCACAAAAACUCUGGCAAAUGUGCCUUGAUCUGCCUCUCAGACAGCACCACGUGCCUGAAGUGAAGUGGAGAGUGUGUUUGCUCCUUUAUAAAAUGAGGCGAUUGGACCAGCUGUUGGUUUGGGAAAGAUGUUGUGUGGGCCCUUCCUGUCCUUUCUGGGGUUUGUGAUCACAGUGGAAGCGCAGCACUUUCACCCUCGACCUUACGGAUUCAUUGUCAUCUUGUCCUUGGCGGGCCUGUCAAAAAGAAGUAAUUUCAAAAGCAUAUCGCUGAUUGUACAUUUCAUUCCAUCAAGUGCUCACAUAACUGCUGGAGGCCUCUGAGAUAAGAGUAGAAAAGUGCCCUGUGCCCUUCCGAGCAGUGGGUGAUCUAUUUUUGACUUGGAGACUGGUGACAAACCUGUCUUCUGUCAGGUCAAACUCACAGGGACUUUCUUGUUUUCUGUUCUUCUGUUGACAGCUGUGUCCAUGCUCAGUAUGGUCAUAGGGUAGUGAAAAGAUAGCUCUGGCAUUUAAACACCUAGAUAGGAAGGGGCGAUGGAAUGUAUUUUUCUUUGCUAUUUUGGUCAGCAAGUCCCUAGGAGUCCAUAAUGAGAGGUGAAGAAGUGAGGAGAGACCUCUGGGAGGAUGGGCAGGAAAAGACACCCAGCUCCUGGUUUGGGAGACACAGAGCGAGAGACAUUUCUACCACUGGUGGCUUUAGUGUCUGGAAAGGGAAUGACUGGAAGGAAAAUGGAAAAUGAAGGAUGGAUUUGAGGUAGCCUUGGGUGGUGGGAGGGUAUGGAGGUGGGAUGGAGGUAAUGAGAAAAGUGGGGCUCUUUUCUUUUUUUGCAUGCUGUAUAAAACGUAAAUUAAAACUCAUGCACUGAAAAUUGCAUUUCUAUAAUCCUUUUACAUAAUGUGAGAUCCUUUUUUUUUAAAAGCACAAUGGUGCAGGCAGACAUGAUGGGAGAGAACUUUCAAGUCCUCAGCUGUACUUACUAUAAACAAGCAUGUGGCUCUGAUGGGGAUUGGUUAAAUGGCAUCUGAAUUCCCAGCAUGUUGCAUCCACGUUUAUUAGCCUCAAAGCUUUCACAGGCUCUUUACUUUCCUCGUCUGCAAAAUGGAGCCACAUCUCUUGCCCGCCUCCCAGGGCUGUUAUGAGGGUCCAAGGUCCAGUGCUGUAUGAUGUUGUCCGGGCUCUUCAGAUAUUUUAUGAAACCUGAAAUGGAAACUAGGGGUCUCCUGCCCAGACCUCACUUUGCUCUAUUUAUUUAUAGUAGCUAGUGAUUCUGCCCCUUGCCCCCUCCUUUAUUCAAGGCCAUGGCUCCCUUCGAGAUUCUGAUAUAUGGGCCUCCUUUCCUCAAAAACACACACACACACACACAGUUUAGCAUACAAUGUUAGGAGUUCACAGUCUGAAGCCCAGCUGAGAACCUCUGAUUUGACCGUGGUUUUCGUUUAUGGAAAUUACAGUUUGAUCGGAGAGAACCAGGUUCUUACAGAUGCCUGGCAUUUGGAAUUUUCUGCUUGUAUGUGUCUUUCUUGAUUAUUUUUCCAGUGGAAGAAAUCAUUAAAUUGUGUUCUUGGUAAAGCUCAGUGCUAACACAGCCCCAGUUCAGCUGCGUGCAGCAGGACUGUAAACUCACGAGGGCAAGACUGUAAAUUCAACAAAAGGAAAAGCUGAGUCAUAUCACAUUGACUGGGAAAGUACUAAGAUAUUAAAAGUACGUAAGUCGAAAGCGCCCAAGUCAUAUUUCUCUUUCCAUCCUUAAGAUGUCAUAGCUAACCAGAGGGUUAAUUAACAUUGUUUUAGUGAUGAGCCCAAUCAAUGUGAUUUAAAUCAUGCAUGAUAUAUUUAUAGCUGAAUGAUUAAGUUGGAUGAUGUGACGAAACACUUAAAUCGUAUUUAUGGUCAUUGAUGGUUUUACGCGUUAUUAGAGAGAAGCAUAGUUACACCGAAUUAAACGGAGAUAUCUGAUCCAGACGUCAGUUCAGUAAUUUCAUGGGAAAAAAUAAAUCUAAAUGAGCAAAAAAUAUUGUGGUCUUAACUCCAAUGUGAUGGUAUUACAAGUUUUCCCAGUUAAUUAGUAACACAUAUUGUAGAACAAAUGUUUGAAACAGAAAUCACGUGUUUUUGCAUAACAGAAAGAACUCUGCACUAGGAGUCGAGCUGGGACACUUAGUUCUCCCACUGCAUUGCUGUGUGACCUUGGGAAGAUCACUUCACCACUCUGGAGCUGUGAAACACAGGGAACGGACUACAUCUUAAAUGAGAGUGGAUUUCUUGCAAUGUUAACAUUUUGUGACUUUAAAUUUCAUUCUGUGAUUGCUGCUUUUGAAGAAAACGUUCUGUCAACAUUUAACGUACAUACAGAAGAGUGGACAAAUCGAAACGUUCAUGUGAUUGAUGACGAAAUGCUGCCCCUGGACCUCACUUGGUUUAAUGUACAGCACACGGUCAUGUUUCUUCUUUGAAAUCAAAUAGAUUAUAAAUUCCAAGACAAAUCUGGCCCCAAGGACUUUGGGUGAG
ensembl:lncRNA